rnacentral:lncRNA from 1 species
GGAAGCCUCCGUCGAGUGCAGCCAGAUACAAACGGUUCAUUUUACUUUCGGUUUUGUUCUCGGAUACAGACACGCAGCGUGAAGAAAGAAGACGUAGAUAUCGAUCCUUCACUAUGAAAUAUAAAGUGCUGGAUUUUUUUUCGUGCAUAGAGAGAGUGAGAGACUGUGAAAGGAGAAGAGGAGCAAUCGAUCUGGAUUCGUUUGGGUAGAGGUGCAGAGACGGAGAGAGAUUGUGUAAGGAGAAGAGCAGGAACCGGUGUUGGUUUGGUUGCGAAGAGGUGGGUGCGUGCGAAUAUUGGGAUCCAGUUUCAGCAAAAGCAAACUUCCAGAUCCGAGAAGGAGUUUGGGUAAAACCCAAAUAAAAUUGUAGUUGAUUUCAUCACCAAUCUUUGCACUGGAGCGGUUAGGAUUACCUGGGGCAAUGUCUUCCUUGAGUAGGGAACUGGUGUUCUUGAUUUUACAGUUCUUGGACGAGGAGAAGUUCAAGGAAACAGUUCAUAAGUUGCUAUUCUUGAAUUCUGUUUCCAAAUAAAGAGCUCUAGAACUGAUCCACAGUCUCAGAGGAAAAAAAUAAGUCGGUUCUGCAACGCUGAUUGUGAAUCUUCGACAGCCCAGUUGAGAGAACAGCUCCUGUUGUCGACAACGCUAAGAACUGGAGCCAAGGGGAAGAGAAGCAUUUGGGUCUCGGUUUUGAUAGGUGCAACGAUAUUGAUCCAAUUAG